UACAGAGGUCCCAAGCGUUGUUCGGAUUCACUGGGCGUAAAGGGUGCGUAGGCGGUCGGGUAAGUCUGAUGUGAAAGCUCUGGGCUUAACCCAGAAAUGGCAUUGGAUACUAUUCGGCUCGAGGUCUGGAGGGGGGACUGGAAUACUUGGUGUAGCAGUGAAAUGCGUAGAUAUCAAGUGGAACACCAGUGGCGAAGGCGAGUCCCUGGACAGAUCCUGACGCUGAGGCACGAAAGCUAGGGGAGCAAACAGG
rnacentral:rRNA from 1 species